UACGAAGGGGGCUAGCGUUGUUCGGAAUUACUGGGCGUAAAGCGCGUGUAGGCGGGUCUUUAAGUCAGGGGUGAAAUGCCAAGGCUCAACCUUGGAACUGCCUUUGAUACUGGAGACCUUGAGUCCGGGAGAGGUGAGUGGAAUUGCGAGUGUAGAGGUGAAAUUCGUAGAUAUUCGCAAGAACACCAGUGGCGAAGGCGGCUCACUGGCCCGGUACUGACGCUGAGGCGCGAAGGCGUGGGGAGCGAACGGGG
rnacentral:rRNA from 1 species